AUUGAACGCUGGCGGCAUGCUUUACACAUGCAAGUCGAACGGCAGCGCGGGCUUCGGCCUGGCGGCGAGUGGCGAACGGGUGAGUAAUACAUCGGAACGUGCCCAGUAGUGGGGGAUAGCUCGGCGAAAGCCGGAUUAAUACCGCAUACGACCUGAGGGUGAAAGCGGGGGAUCUUCGGACCUCGCGCUAUUGGAGCGGCCGAGGGCAGAUUAGCUAGUUGGUGGGGUAAAGGCCUACCAAGGCGACGAUCUGAAGCUGGUCUGAGAGGACGACCAGCCAGACUGGGACUGAGACACGGCCCAGACUCCUACGGGAGGAAGCAGUGGGGAAUUUUGGACAAUGGGCGAAAGCCUGAUCCAGCAAUGCCGCGUGUGUGAUGAAGGCCUUCGGGUUGUAAAGCACUUUUGGCGGGAACGAAAAGGACUGUGCCAAUACCACGGUUCGAUGACGGUACCCGCAGAAUAAGCACCGGCUAACUACGUG
rnacentral:rRNA from 1 species